GCAGAGGUGGCGGAAUGGCAGACGCGCUAGAUUCAGGUUCUAGUGCCCGCAAGGGUGUGGGGGUUCGAGUCCCCUUCUCUGUA
rfam:Clostridium lentocellum DSM 5427, complete genome.